AGCCUUCAGUAGCUGGUAGUGGAAGGAGGAGCUCUGACUACACUCUCACGACUGUUUUUUGCCUCUUGGUUCUUGUUAUGUCCCUUUCUUUUUGAAAUAAGACAGAAGGUCCCCACCUUCAUAGACAUAGAGAGAUCCCAUCUUAUUUGUUUUUAAAAAUAAAUUGAAAAGUGAGGCGGAGCCUUGUGAGGAUGAUGGGAGAGGGCUUCCAGAGAGGAAUUUCUUCUUUGGAAUUCCUGAAAUGGGAACAAACUUGUUUUGGGAAAAGGACAGAAAGACACAAAGGUGGCUGCAGCAGAGUGAAAUGAAUAUGAUGGGCUAAGGCCUCGUACACGUAGUGAGCAUUGACAAAGAAUAUGGACUUUAGUUGAGAUGGGAAACCACUGGAGGAUUACAGCCUGGGGAUUACUGUUAAUUCUCCAAGAAGAAGACUGACCAGCGGCUGUGUGAGAAUGUCCUGUAAUGCAGGCAAGGGUGGAAGCAGGGAGACCAGCUAGGAGGCUGGUGGCGAAGUGCAGGUUUGGACGCCCGCUCCAAGCGCUGGUUAAAAAUAAUAUGGAGACGGCACGGGAUUUGGCCUCUAGAAAAUAUAGGUCCCAUUGAAGAUGUGCAGGCGUCUGCACACGGCGGUGUGGAGGAGAAUAUGACAUCAGAUAUUGUAAGAUGUAUUUCUUUCUCUGGAAGAGAAAUGCUUUUUGUUUUUUCUGGGGCUUCUAGAAUAUCAAGUGAGUAUCAUUUUUGACUGCCAUCAUGAUUCAGGCCUCAGUGUCAUGGACUCUAGCGACCGGUCACUGGAGGUUAUGACCAGCUGAGGCCUGAUUGAAAAUGGCAGUCAAAGGACGGCAUCACUUACAAACUGUUUGGUAGUGAGUGUAUUUCUCAGUAGCAACCUUUUCUCCUUGAAAAAUAAUUUUGUAUUUGCCAGCCAACAUAGACUUGCUAAAUAUUCCAAAAAACCCACUGCAUGUUCCACAAGCAUCCUCUAUGCUUUAUUUGGGGGCCAGUGACUUGAUCACUGUUUCACAUCCGGUUUUUUAUUUCACCAAGUGAAUAAAGGCCUUUGCCAACAGAACCCAGCAUGAUCUGAUCCUCAUGGUGUUUUUUUUUUCUCUUAUUGCAGAGAAAGUCGAAAGCCCAGCGUCAAGUCUGUACAUAUACUUUUUUUUUUAAACAGCUUUAUUUAGACAUAGUUGACAUGCAAAACAACUCACCCAUUUAAAGUACGUGAUUCAGCGUUUUUACUAUAUUUACACGGUUGUGCAACCAUUGUUACAAUCUCAUCUUAGAACCUCUUUAUUCCCCCCUCAAAGAAACCCCACUAGUAGUCACUCCUGUUUUUCCCAUCUCCCAUGCCCCUGGAUCUAGGCAGCCACAAAUGUACUUCCUGUUUCUAUAGUACAGUGCUUUUCUGUAUUAACCGGUUCUUAAGGUGACUAUUUCGCAUUGAUGAAGUUGCUCUAGCUAGAAAGCCAAGGCUCUUUCAUUUCCUUCUGCCCUUCUCCUUUGCCAUCCUUCAACACCAAGGAGAAUGGUCCAGCAACAGCUCGGUCCAAGCUUGUCAACCGCCCACCUCCACACACUCCAGCCCCGGUCCACAUCCCCCAAGGCUCCUUGUGGGAUUCCUCAGCAGCACCAAUGCACUGACUGUCACUAUGUUCUCCUAGAUUUGGUCGAAGAUCUCAGUGAAUACCCAUCUGUCCAUCUUGAAGACCUCAUGACACCGGAGAUGGCAAAGGAGAGACGCGAAGAUUACCUCUGCUGGGUUAACAUGGCACAAUCUCGGCUCAAUGAACCCAUCAGCUCCCAGGUUUGAGGACUUCUCCGGCUUCCGCAUCCCGAGUAGCUGGGAUUACGGACGCCUGCCACCACACCCAGCUCAAAUCAUUUUAUGAAUGCAUAUUUCCAUCUGGGUGAAAAAAAAAUCACAAGCCUCUCUCUCUUCCUACUGAGCACCUGUGAACAGUGACCUGCAGUUUGUGGCUGCAGCCAGUCCUCAUGGAGCCUGCUGUUCUUACAUUUCAUUCUGAGGCUCACAUUCUCAGUCACCAUGCAGAAGAACACCCGCCCCAUCCUGGGUCAUUACAGAGUGGGCCAAUCCAUCUGCUGCAUCUGAGGAGCUGGGUCCAGCUUCUACGGUGAAUCCAUAUAUUUCUGUAUUUCCUGGAUAAGGAAGAGGAAAGGAGCUGAGCUGGUGGAGGAAGAAGAUCUAAUAUUAACUGACUCCUUAUUUUGUACCAGUCAAGGACGUGUCAACAUAGAGACUUAGGAGGACAAAGUGAACUUCCUGAUCCCCAACAGGCAGAUCCCCAAAAGCCAAAAUGUAUGUGUCACCUUGGAAGAUGACGCACCAGGAAGAAUGGGGAGGAGGGAGGAGGAAAAACUGCUGAUGAGGCCGACUCGCUCUUUGGGGCUUAUCAUAUCAGCAAAGCCAGCUCUUUUGAGAUGGAAGAACAAAGAUGUUUCUCCUCUGUGAGGAGGUGACAGUGGUGUUCUGGGUGAAGGAGAGCAGCUUUGUCCUGGAAGGAAUCUGACUUGGAAGGAGGCCCAGUUGUCCAGCAGUGGAUAUGACGUCAGAUAUUGACACAGCCAACAAUCGACUCAUCAUUUCUGAAGACCUGUGGAGUGUCCAUUGUGG
rnacentral:lncRNA from 1 species